UACGUAGGUGACGAGCGUUAUCCGGAUUUACUGGGCGUAAAGCGCUUGUAGGUGGCUUUGUAAGUUGGGCGUGAAAACUCUGGGCUUAACCCGGAGCGGUCAAGUGAUACUGUCGUGCUAGAGUGCGGAAGGGGCUACUGGAAUUCUCGGUGUAGCGGUGAAAUGCGUAGAUAUCGAGAGGAACACCUGCGGCGAAGGCGGGUAGCUGGGCCAUUACUGACACUGAGAAGCGAAAAGCAUGGGGAGCGAACAGG
rnacentral:rRNA from 1 species